rnacentral:rRNA from 1 species
UACGUAGGGUGCAAGCGUGGUCCGGAAUUAUUGGGCGUAAAGAGCUCGUAGGCGGUUUGUCGCGUCUGCUGUGAAAACUCGGGGCUUAACUCCGGGCCUGCAGUGGGUACGGGCAGACUAGAGUGCGGUAGGGGAGACUGGAAUUCCUGGUGUAGCGGUGGAAUGCGCAGAUAUCAGGAGGAACACCGGUGGCGAAGGCGGGUCUCUGGGCAGUAACUGACGCUGAGGAGCGAAAGCGUGGGGAGCGAACAGG